GACGAACGCUGGCGGCGUGCUUAACACAUGCAAGUCGAACGGAAAGGCCCUGCUUUUGUGGGGUGCUCGAGUGGCGAACGGGUGAGUAACACGUGAGUAACCUGCCCUUGACUUUGGGAUAACUUCAGGAAACUGGGGCUAAUACCGGAUAGGAGCUCCUGCUGCAUGGUGGGGGUUGGAAAGUUUCGGCGGUUGGGGAUGGACUCGCGGCUUAUCAGCUUGUUGGUGGGGUAGUGGCUUACCAAGGCUUUGACGGGUAGCCGGCCUGAGAGGGUGACCGGCCACAUUGGGACUGAGAUACGGCCCAGACGCCUACGGGAGGCAGCAGUGGGGAAUAUUGCACAAUGGGCGGAAGCCUGAUGCAGCAACGCCGCGUGCGGGAUGACGGCCUUCGGGUUGUAAACCGCUUGCGCCUGAGACGAAGCGUGAGUGACGGUAAUGGGUAAAGAAGCACCGGCUAACUACGUG
rnacentral:rRNA from 1 species